UACAGAGGUCCCAAGCGUUGUUCGGAUUCACUGGGCGUAAAGGGCGCGUAGGCGGCCAUUCAAGUCGGGGGUGAAAGCCUGUGGCUCAACCACAGAAUUGCCUUCGAUACUGUUUGGCUUGAGACCGGAAGAGGUAAGUGGAACUGCGAGUGUAGAGGUGAAAUUCGUAGAUAUUCGCAAGAACACCAGUGGCGAAGGCGGCUUACUGGUCCGGUUCUGACGCUGAGGCGCGAAAGCGUGGGGAGCAAACAGG
rnacentral:rRNA from 1 species